GACGAACGCUGGCGGCGUGCUUAACACAUGCAGGUCGAACGGAAAGGCCCCUUUGGGGGUACUCGAGUGGCGAACGGGUGAGUAACACGUGAGUAACCUGCCCUUGACUUCGGGAUAACUUCAGGAAACUGGGGCUAAUACCGGAUAGGAAUCCUUGCUGCAUGGUGGGGGUUGGAAAGCUUCGGCGGUUUUGGAUGGACUCGCGGCUUAUCAGCUUGUUGGUGGGGUAGUGGCUUACCAAGGCUUUGACGGGUAGCCGGCCUGAGAGGGCGACCGGCCACAUUGGGACUGAGAUACGGCCCAGACUCCUACGGGAGGCAGAGGUGGGGAAUAUUGCACAAUGGGCGGAAGCCGGAUGCAGCAACGCCGCGUGCGGGAUGACGGCCUUCGGGUUGUAAACCGCUUUCAGCAGGGGCGAAGCUUGUGGUGACGGUACCUGCAGAAGAAGCACCGGCUAACUACGUG
rnacentral:rRNA from 1 species